rnacentral:lncRNA from 1 species
UUAGCGUUGCUAGGAGGCAAAUAUGCAUUUGAAUGAAAAGAGGUAGGAAGUGGUCUUGUCCAGAACUAAUUUGGUGGUAAACACUGCUUUAGAAUGCAAAUUUUCUUGAAGGAAACACUGAUCAUACAGACUACUUCUCCUCUGAAUAUGCACAGCCUUGCGGGUGUGGAUUGACUUGCCCUCCAGUGAGACUCCCUGGUUUCUGCUUCUCAACACAUCGUCUUCCAGAGGAGAGUUGACACAGUUGACUCUGGUUUGCCAUUCAUCCACUGCAGAUUCCAACAUUAUUCUAUAGACUUAUGAUUUGAGUUCAACGUACAUACUAAGUUAGCUAAAGCUAUUGG